rnacentral:rRNA from 1 species
GACGAACGCUGGCGGCGUGCUUAACACAUGCAAGUCGAACGGAAAGGCCCUGCUUUUGUGGGGUGCUCGAGUGGCGAACGGGUGAGUAACACGUGAGUAACCUCCCCUUGACUUUGGGAUAACUUCAGGAAACUGGGGCUAAUACCGGAUAGGAGCUCCUGCUGCAUGGUGGGGAUUGGAAAGUUUCGGCGGUUGGGGAUGGACUCGAGGCUUAUCAGCUUGUUGGUGGGGUAGUUGCUUACCAAGGGUUUGACGGGUAGCCGGCCUGAGAGGGUGACCGGCCACAUUGGGACUGCGGUACGGCCCAGACUGCUACGGGAGGCAGCAGUGGGGAAUAUUGCACAAUGGGCGGAAGCCUGAUGCAGCAACGCCGCGUGCGGGAUGACGGCCUUCGGGUUGUAAACCGCUUUCGCCUGUGACGAAGCGUGAGUGACGGUAAUGGGUAAAGAAGCACCGGCUAACUACGUG